AUACGGAGGGUGCAAGCGUUAUCCGGAUUUAUUGGGUUUAAAGGGUGCGCAGGCGGACCUGUCAGUCAGUGGUGAAAUCCCGGGGCUCAACCCCGGAACUGCCAUUGAUACUACAGGUCUUGAAUACGGUUGAAGUAGGCGGAAUGUAGCAUGUAGCGGUGAAAUGCAUAGAUAUGCUCCAGAACACCGAUCGCGAAGGCAGCUUACUAAGCCGAUAUUGACGCUCAGGCACGAAAGCGUGGGUAGCGAACAGGAUUAGAUACCCUAGUAGUCC
rnacentral:rRNA from 1 species